rnacentral:rRNA from 1 species
AUUGAACGCUGGCGGCAUGCCUUACACAUGCAAGUCGAACGGCAGCACGGGUGCUUGCACCUGGUUGCGAGUGGCGAACGGGUGAGUAAUACAUCGGAACAUGUCCUGUAGUGGGGGAUAGCCCGGCGAAAGCCGGAUUAAUACCGCAUACGAUCUACGGAUGAAAGCGGGGGACCUUCGGGCCUCGCGCUAUAGGGUUGGCCGAUGGCUGAUUAGCUAGUUGGGGGGGUAAAGGCCUACCAAGGCGACGAUCAGUAGCUGGUCUGAGAGGACGACCAGCCACACUGGGACUGAGACACGGCCCAGACUCCUACGGGAGGCAGCAGUGGGGAAUUUUGGACAAUGGGCGAAAGCCUGAUCCAGCAAUGCCGCGUGUGUGAAGAAGGCCUUCGGGUUGUAAAGCACUUUUGUCCGGAAAGAAAUCCUUGGCUCUAAUACAGUCGGGGGAUGACGGUACCGGAAGAAUAAGCACCGGCUAACUACGUG